GAGGAUGUAGCUCAGAUGGUAGAGCGCUUGCUUAGCAUGUGAGAGGUACGGGGAUCGAUACCUUGCAUCUCCA
rnacentral:tRNA from 1 species